rnacentral:rRNA from 1 species
UACGAAGGGGCUAGCGUUGCUCGGAAUCACUGGGCGUAAAGCGCACGUAGGCGGACUCUUAAGUCGGUGGUGAAAUCCUGGAGCUCAACUCCAGAACUGCCUUCGAUACUGCGGGUCUCGAGUCCGGGAGAGGUGAGUGGAAUUCCUAGUGUAGAGGUGAAAUUCGUAGAUAUUAGGAAGAACACCAGUGGCGAAGGCGGCUCACUGGCCCCGGGUACUGACGCUGAGGCGGCGAAAAGCGUGGGGAGCAAACAGGG